CCUACGGGUGACAGCAGUGAGGAAUAUUGGUCAAUGGACGAGAGUCUGAACCAGCCAAGUCGCGUGAAGGAUGACUGCCCUAUGGGUUGUAAACUUCUUUUAUAUGGGAAUAAAAUGUUCCACGUGUGGGAUUUUGUAUGUACCAUAUGAAUAAGGAUCGGCUAACUCCGUGCCAGCAGCCGCGGUCAUACGGAGGAUCCGAGCGUUAUCCGGAUUUAUUGGGUUUAAAGGGAGCGUAGGUGGAUUGUUAAGUCAGUUGUGAAAGUUUGCGGCUCAACCGUAAAAUUGCAGUUGAAACUGGCAGUCUUGAGUACAGUAGAGGUGGGCGGAAUUCGUGGUGUAGCGGUGAAAUGCUUAGAUAUCACGAAGAACUCCGAUUGCGAAGGCAGUUCACUGGACUGCAACUGACACUGAGGCUCGAAAGUGUGGGUAUCAAACAGGAUUAGAUACCCUUGUAGUC
rnacentral:rRNA from 1 species